rnacentral:tRNA from 1 species
GCCCCGGUGGCGGAACUGGUAGACGCUGCGGACUUAAAAUCCGCUGGCCGCGAGGCCGUACAGGUUCGAGUCCUGUCCGGGGCA